AUUCCUACGGGAGGCAGCAGUCAAGAAUCUUCCUCAAUGGGCGAAAGCCUGAAGGAGCGACGCCGCGUGUAUGAAGAAGCCCCUCGGGGUGUAAAAUACUUUUAACUGUGACGAAACAAUGACGGUAGCAGUUGAAUAAGGGGCUGCUAACCUCGUGCCAGCAGCAGCGGUAAUACGAGGGCCCCAAGCGUUAUCCGGAUUUAUUGGGCGUAAAGCGUCCGUAGGUGGUUUAUCGCAUCUCCUGUUAAAUCUCGAGGCUCAACCUCGAGUCAGCGGGAGAGAUGGCUAAACUAGAGACUGGAAGAGGCAAACGGAAUUGCUGGUGUAGGGGUUAAAUCCAUUAAUAUCAGCAAGAACAUCAAAUGCGAAGGCAGUUUGCUAGGACAGUUCUGACACUCAGUGGACGAAAGCGUGGGGAGCGAAUGGGAUUAGAUACCCCAGUAGUCCACGCCGUAAACGAUGGAUACUAAGCAUUGGAAGUAUCGACCCUUUCAGUGCUGCUAAUUUAAGUUAACACGUUAAGUAAUCCACCUGGGGAGUACGGCCGCAAGGUUGAAACUCAAAGGAAUUGACGGGGGCCCGCACAAGCGGAGGAACAUGUGGUUUAAUUCGAUGAUACGCGAGGAACCUUACCUGGGCUUAAAUGUAGAGUGCAUUUUUUAGAGAUAGAAAUUCCCUUCGGGGCUUUCUGCAAGGUGCUGCAUGGUUGUCGUCAGCUCGUGCCGUGAGGUGUCGGGUUAAGUCCCAUAACGAGCGCAACCCUUAUCGUUAGUUGCCAGCGGGUAAUGCCGGGGACUCUAGCGAAACUGCCACCGUAAGGUGAGAGGAAGGUGGGGAUGACGUCAAAUCAGCACGGCCCUUAUGUCCAGGGCUACACACGUGUUACAAUGGUCGGUACAGAGGGCAGCUACCUGGUGACAGGAUGCUAAUCUCGAAAACCGGUCUCAGUUCGGAUCGAAGUCUGCAACUCGACUUCGUGAAGCUGGAUUCGCUAGUAAUCGCGCAUCAGCCAUGGCGCGGUGAAUACGUUCCCGGGCCUUGUACACACCGCC
rnacentral:rRNA from 1 species